AGAGGUGGUCUGUCCCGAGUCCUCGGCGUCCAUUGGCGCCGCCCCUAACAAUCUCGGCACGGACACUUUCCGUGCCCUCAGGCGGGCGUCGUGUGGAUGCUACCCACCGAACACGCUCCCUACCACGGACACAACUAAGGCCUCGGGCCGCCCCCUGCUCGGCCGGGUUGGGGGUCGCAACUCACCUGAAGGCCGACGUACGCGCCGCGGAGUCCCGCUCGGUUCUUGGCGGCCGGAGAGUGAAAACAAUGCAGCGUCCUCUUCCUCCUCCUCUUCGUCCUCCUCUUCCUCGCCCCGCCCCCGCAGCUUCCACACACGGGACUGCGGAGCCACGGCGGGGUGUGCUGCUUUCACAGCACUGCGCGGCGCCGGCGGGGCGGCAACCGAGUUGAAAACGACCAAUUAUCCCUCGACGGUCGAAUGAAAUGUGUUCAACGCUCGAACCAGAAUGUUGAUGGCGAGUGUUUGAUUUAAUCACCAGCUGUCCGGCAGGGGCGGUGUCUCCAAGACCGCUAUGGAGUCACGUGAUCAGGGUGAGGCGGCAACGCGAGCACACGUUCACAGGGGCAGACAGUGUGCUGUCAUGAAGCGCCUCCACGCCCCAAAUCAGUGAGAGGCAGUGAAGCAGCCUUGACAAGGAGGAAAGUCUGCAGACAUCGGAUAGUGAAAAGUUGAAAAAAAAGUAAAAAGCCUAUCCCGGCUGCACUGGAGCGGAAGGCGGCGUACACCCUGGACAAGUCACCAUCUCAUCAUAGGGCCAACACAGAUAGACAAAAUUAAAUUUCUUAAACUAAUCAUACUCAAAAAUAUAUAAGUAAUCAUUUUUGAAGAUAUAAUUGUAUAUUAACAUACAAUCAUAUAGGAAGAUUUUUUUUUUACUAUUAAAUAUCAAUUGUUUUUAUACUUGCAAAUUUUUUUAUUUGUUGAAUUGAAAUUUGUUUUUAUACUUUAAAUCAUUUGUUUUAUUAAUUAGAAAAUAGUUUCCAUACUUUCAAUU